rnacentral:rRNA from 1 species
UACGUAGGGGGCAAGCGUUGUCCGGAAUCAUUGGGCGUAAAGAGCGUGUAGGCGGCCCGGUAAGUCCGCUGUGAAAGUCCAGGGCUCAACCCUGGAAUGCCGGUGGAAACUGUCGGGCUAGAGUCCGGAAGAGGCGAGUGGAAUUCCUGGUGUAGCGGUGAAAUGCGCAGAUAUCAGGAGGAACACCAAUGGCGAAGGCAGCUCGCUGGGACGGUACUGACGCUGAGGUGCGAAAGCGUGGGGAGCAAACAGG